rnacentral:rRNA from 2 species
CUGGCGGCGUGCUUAACACAUGCAAGUCGAACGGGAUUUAGUAGACAGAAACCUCGGUGGAAGAUUACUAAUGAGAGUGGCGAACGGGUGAGUAACGCGUGAGCAACCUGCCUAUGACAGUGGGAUAGCCUCGGGAAACCGGGAUUAAUACCGCAUAAAAUCGUAGAAACACAUGUUUCAACGGUCAAAGAUUUAUCGGUCAUAGAUGGGCUCGCGUCUGAUUAGCUAGUUGGUGAGAUAACAGCCCACCAAGGCGACGAUCAGUAGCCGGUCUGAGAGGAUGAACGGCCACAUUGGAACUGAGACACGGUCCAAACUCCUACGGGAGGCAGCAGUGGGGAAUAUUGCACAAUGGGGGAAACCCUGAUGCAGCGACGCCGCGUGAACGAAGAAGGUAUUCGUAUCGUAAAGUUCUGUCCUAUGGGAAGAUAAUGACAGUACCAUAGAAGAAAGCUCCGGCUAAAUACGUGCCAGCCGCCGCGGUAA